rnacentral:pre_miRNA from 9 species
UCUCGACAGCGUAAAAGUUAACUCAAAUUUGUAGGCGUGUAAACGUUUGCCUACGUUUGCCGCUAGGGGCGCUGUUCCAACUGCAUACAAAUUCGAGUUAACUUUUACGCUCUCGA